AAUUAUCGGUAAGUAAAUUCUUAUUUUCUAUAAAGAAAAGAAAUCUAAUGUCACUUUCCCUCCUUCCCACGAGCUUAAUACACUUUUUGAAGGGAUGUGGGUGAAUCCCGAAAAGAAAUUUCGUAUUCCCAAGAGAAUUCAGAUAGCUUAUCCUUUCCCGGUGGAGGACAGGAAAAAAUGGGAGUCACCCCCUGUGUUAGACAGUGCACUGUCCAGGUUGACAAAGAAGGUAAUUGUCCCUGCACCUGGCACGGCUUCACUAAAAGAGCCGGCAGACUGAAAGAUGGAAACUACAUUGAAAUCCAUUUAUGUUGCCAAUGGUACGCUGCUCAGGCCCACAAUUGCUUGCGCGUGGGUGAGUCGCGCUAUUGAAAAAUGGUCAGACAGCGUGUCAUCAGAAAUUGACACGAUUGAUAAAGAUGAGAUACUCCUUAAGUUAGGGAAUAUCAAAGACGCUGCCUCAUACAUGCUAGAAGCGAUAAAAGAUAUUGGACUCUUGAGUUCACAAGCCGCUACCAUGGCAGUAUCGGCUCGGCGGGCGUUGUGGAUUCACCAGUGGAACGCGGAUGCAGAUUCCAAAAGAAAUAUGGAGGCUCUCCCAUAUAAAGGUGAGGCCUUGUUUGGUGAUGGAUUGGAUGCGUUAGUCUCAGCGGCUACCGCAGGUAAGUCAACAUUUUUGCCCUCUGCGGCUGCACCGGCAAAAAAGACAUAUCCACCCGCACAUGCAGUCCUUUCGGCCCAAUAAAUACAAAAAAGCGAGAGGUUCCCCCUUCUUUGCGGGUAGGGGAAAGGGAAAGAAGUCCACAGCAGCUUCAGGUUCCCAGGAGCAGAAGUCUACCCCUACUUCUGCCAAAUCUUCAGCAUGACGCUGGGGCUCCUUUGCGGGAAGCCGCUCAGGUGGGGGCACGUCUCAAACUGUUCAGCCAAGGUUGGAUUCUGUCUUCUGGCCUGGAUCCCUGGUUGUUGCAAAUAGUGUCCCAGGGAUACAAGCUGGAGUUUCAAGACGUUCCCCCAUGCCGAUUUUUCAAAUCGACCUUGCCAGCUUCUCUUCCAGAAAGGGAAGCAGUAACAGCGGCAAACCAAAAAUUAUGUAAGGAUCAGGUCAUAGUCCUGGUACCUUUGUCACAACAAGGGGAGGGGUUUUAUUCAAGCCUUUUGUAGUUCUGAAGCCGGGUGGCUCGGUCAGACAGAUCCUAAACCUGAAAAAUCUGAAUCUCUACUUGAAACGAUUCAAGUUCAAAAUAGAAUCACUGAGGGCAGGGAGUUCCAGUCUGGAGGAGGGGGACUACAUGGUGUCUGUAGACAUAAAAGAUGCUUACCUGCAUGUUCCCAUUUAUCCUCCUCACCAGGCUUAUCUGAGAUUCGCGGUUCAGGAUUGCCAUUACCAAUUCCAGACGUUAACUUUCGGUCUCUCCACGGCGCCGAGGGUAUUCACCAAGGUGAUGGCGGAGAUGAUGGUUCUCCUGCGUCAAAAAGGAGUCAAUAUAAUUCCUUAUCUAGACGAUCUCCUGAUAAAGGCGAGAUCCAGGGAGCAGUUGUUACAAAACAUCACACUCUCCCUGUCAAUACUCCAACAACACGGUUGGAUCAUACAUUAUCCAAAGUCCCAGUUGGAACCGGCGACAAGAUUGUCUUUUCUCGGGAUGAUUCUGGACACAGAAGUUCAGAGAGUAUUUCUUCAGGUGGAAAAGGCUCUGGAAAUCCAGAAAAUGGUAAAACAAAUAUUGAAACCAUUGAGUGUGUCGAUCCAUCAGUGCAUUCGGUUGUUGGGGAAGAUGGUGGCGGCCUACGAGGCCAUACAGUUUGGCAGGUUCCAUGCCAGGGUAUUCCAGUGGGACCUGUUGGACAAGUGGUCGGGAUCCCACCUACACAUGCACCGGAAGAUAAUCCUGUCGUCAAAAGCCAGGAUUUCGCUCUUGUGGUGGCUACACAGUUCUCACCUAUUAGAGGGACGCAGGUUCGGGAUUCAGGACUGGCUCCUGGUAACCACUGAUGCAAGUCUCCGAGGCUGGGGAGCUGUCACUCGGGGAGAAAGCUUCCAGGGAAUAUGGUCAAGUCAGGAAGCCUGCCUUCACAUAAACGUGCUGGAAUUGAGAGCCAUUUACAACGGCCUUCAACAUUCGGUACAUCAUCUUCAAGAUCAUCCCGUGCAGAUCCAGUCGGACAACGUAACAGCAGUCGCGUACAUAAACAGGCAGGGCGGAACGAAAAGCAGAGCGGCAAUGGCAGAGGUGACGAAGAUCCUCCUCUGGGCAGAAAGACAUGUAAAGGCUCUGUCUGCAAUUUUCCUUCCGGGAGUAGACAACUGGGAAGCAGACUUCCUCAGCAGACACGAUCUCCAUCCAGGAGAGUGGGGCCUACACCAAGAAAUCUUCCCAGAGAUAACAAGUCUUUGGGGAUUUCCUUAAGUAGACAUGAUGGCAUCUUGUCUCAACAAGAAGCUUCAGAAAUAUUGUUCCAGGUCGAGAGACCCUAAAGCAAUAACAGUGGAUGCGCUGGUGGCCCAGUGGGUGUUCCGGUCGGUGUAUGUCUUCCCUCCACUUCCGCUGAUCCCAAAAGUGCUCAGGAUCAUAAGAAGAACAAGAGUUCGAGCAAUCUACAUUGCCCCAGACUGGCCAAGGAGGGCUUGGUACCCAGAUCUUCAGGAGUUGCUCAUAGAAGAUCCUCUUCCUCUUUGCGAGGACCUGCUGCAGCAGGGGCCGUGCAUGUAUCAAGACUUAUCGUGGCUACGUUUGAUGGCAUGACUGUUGAGCGCCGGAUCCUAGCCCGAAAGGGUGUUCCCAAGGAAGUCAUCCCCACCCUUAUUCAGGCCAGGAAAGGAGUAACGUCGAAACAUUACCACCGUAUUUGGAGAAAAUAUGUGUCUUGGCGUGAAUCCAAGAAGGCUCCUACGGAAGAGUUUGAGUUGGGACGUUUUCUCCAUUUUCUGCAGGCUGGUGUGGAGGCGGGCCUACGAUUGGGCUCAAUCAAGGUCCAGAUUUCGGCCUUGUCGGUGUUCUUCCAAAAACAAUUGGCCUCUCUUCCAGAGGUUCAGACCUUCGUGAAAGGGGUUCUGCACAUCCAGCCUCCAUUUGUGCCUCCAGUGGCACCAUGGGACCUUAACGUGGUGUUGCAGUUCCUUCAAUCAGAUUGGUUUGAGCCUCUACAAGAGAUAGAGUUGAAGUUUCUCACUUGGAAAGUGGUCAUGCUUUUGGCAUUGGCAUCCACGCGGCGGGUGUCUGAAUUGGGGGCCUUGUCUCACAAGAGCCCUUGCAAAAGGAAAGGAGAAAAGAAGACUUUUGUGGGUGCACUCUUGUAUAUCUUGAAGUCUCAAAAGAAACAGUGGUUUUAUAUUAAAAAAUAUAAUUUUUAUUAACAAUAUCAAUAAAAUAAAAUAGUAGUUGGAUAUACAAACAAGUAAAAGGGAAAAAGAAACAACAGAACCAAUAAUACUAGCAUAGAUACUGAAUGACGGUUCCAAACUGUCUGGGUUUCAAAUACAGAUUUGCCUCAACUGACUGCCUGAAAAUAAAUGCUCCUAGGCGCACAUUUAUCUUGUAUUUAAGAUAUACAAGAGUGCACCCACAAAAGAGUCUUCUUUUCUCCUUUCCUUUUGCAUGUUUCAUUACUGACUCAGGGUGCACCACCAAAUCUAAGAUAGAUUUGAAAACAGUGUUUUUCUUCCCUUAUUAUUGCAUUUUGGUUAUUACAUUAUCCACUUUAUACUUCAUUAUUCCCCUGUGCGGUAUACCCCUGAUACAUGAUUGCUCACAAGAGCCCUUACCUGAUCUUCCAUGAAGAUAGGGCAGAGUUGAGGACUCAUCAACAUUUUCUUCCGAAGGUGGUUUCAUCUUUCCACAUAAACCAACCUAUUGUGUUGCCAGUAGUUACUGACACGUUCACUGAGUCAAAGUCUCUAGAUGUGGUUAGGGCUUUAAAGAUUUAUGUCGCUAGAACAGCUCGAAUACGGAAAACAGAGUCUUUGUUUGUCCUGUAUGCUCCCAACAAGAUUGGGUGUCCUGCUUCCAAGCAGACUAUUGCGCGUUGGAUCAGAAGUACGAUUCAGCACGCUCAUACUAUGGCUGGAUUGCUGUUACCGACGUCGGUGAAGGCCCAUUCCACUAGGAAGGUGGGCUCAUCCUGGGUGGCUGCCCGGGGGGUCUCGGCAUUGCAACUUUGCCGAGCAGCUACUUGGUCGGGGUCAAACACAUUUGCUAAAUUCUACAAGUUUGACACCUUGGUCGAUGAAGACCUCAAGUUCGGUCAAUCAGUGCUGCAGGGUCAUCCGCACUCUCCCGCCCGUACUGGAGCUUUGGUAUAAGCCCCAUGGUCAUGAAGUGGACCCCAGCAUACUCUAGGACGUAUGAGAAAACAGGAUUUUGAUACCUACCGGUAAAUCCUUUUCUUCUAGUCCGUAGAGGAUGCUGGGCGCCCGUCCCAGUGCGUACUUUACCUGCAGUUUUGUUAUUAGAGUUACACAAGUUGUGUUAUAUUAGUUUCAGCAUGUUGUUGUAAUUGGUUCAUGCCUGUUGGCAUGUGUUAUGUUGAAUGCCAUGUUGUGCGGCAUGGUUGAGGUGUGAGCUGGUAUGUAUCUCACCACUAGCUUAAAGUAAAUCCUUUCCUCAAAAUGUCCGUCUCCCUGGGCACAGUUCCUAUAACUGAAGUCUGGAGGAGGGGCAUAGAGGGAGGAGCCAGUUCACAACCAUUGAAAAGUCUUAAGAGUGCCCAUGGCUCCUGCGGAACCGUCUGUACCCCCAUGGUCAUGAAGUGGACCCCAGCAUCCUCUACGGACUAGGAGAAAAGGAUUUACCGGUAGGUAUGAAAAUCCUGUUUUUUGCACACUAAGCACUUUUUAUGCAUGUAAGCACAAAGUCACUUUAUUUAUAUAUUGUCUUCAUCCUCCAACUAUGUGACAUUCUGCAUAACUCCUGAGAAUGUGAGGAAGGAGGAGGCCACCACUGAGGGAUACGUGUAAAGAUACCUGUACAAGCAGAUCAUCUUCCUUUGUCUGGUAUGAGCAUGAUAAAGACUGCGUGGAGACUACUGAUGACAUCACUGUUUCAGUCUCCACCUCCUUCCUCCCCGAGUUGAGCUCCAU